rnacentral:rRNA from 1 species
UACGAAGGGGGCUAGCGUUGUUCGGAAUCACUGGGCGUAAAGCGCACGUAGGCGGAUUCUUAAGUCAGGGGUGAAAUCCCGAGGCUCAACCUCGGAACCGCCUUUGAUACUGGGGAUCUCGAGUCCGGGAGAGGUGAGUGGAAUUGCGAGUGUAGAGGUGAAAUUCGUAGAUAUUCGCAAGAACACCAGUGGCGAAGGCGGCUCACUGGCCCGGAACUGACGCUGAGGUGCGAAAUCGUGGGGAGCAAACAGG